rnacentral:rRNA from 1 species
GAUUCAUGACUGGGGUGAAGUCGUAACAAGGUAACCUAGGGGAACCUGCGGUUGGAUCACCUCCUUACCUUAAAGAA